rnacentral:rRNA from 1 species
AGAGAAGCAAGAACUGUGAAGAGGAGCCAAACUCAAAAACCGGUACCCAGUUCGGAUUGUAGGCUGCAACUCGCCUACAUGAAGUCGGAGUUGCUAGUAAUCGCGGAUCAGAAUGCCGCGGUGAAUGCGUUCCCGGGUCUUGUACACACCGCCCGUCACACCAUGGAAGUUGGGGGCGCCCGAAGUUGGUCGGGAAAUAGAUUACCUAAGGCGAAACCAAUGACUGGGGUGAAGUCGUAACAAGGUAAC